GACGUAGGGUGCGAGCGUUGUCCGGAUUUAUUGGGCGUAAAGAGCUCGUAGGCGGCUCGUCGCGUCGACCGUGAAAACCCGCGGCUUAACUGCGGGCUUGCGGUUGAUACGGGCGGGCUAGAGUUCGGUAGGGGGAGACUGGAAUUCCUGGUGUAGCGGUGAAAUGCGCAGAUAUCAGGAGGAACACCGGUGGCGAAGGGCGGGGUCUCUGGGGCCACUACUGACGCUGAGAAGCGAAAAGCAUGGGGGAGC
rnacentral:rRNA from 1 species